rnacentral:lncRNA from 1 species
GAGGGAGAAUGAGAGGAGUGAAGGCUGAGUAGCAUCUCUGUUAUUCUGCCUUGGACGUUUACCAAGGAGUGUUAGUGGAUUGAAAUCAGGAUUGAAAUCAGUCUGCUACACUGGCCAGUAGCGGAACACUUUUUCCUUGAAAACACCCCUGAAAUCACCAAGGUACUGCAAGACAACACCCAACCAGCUGUGAGGUGUGUGUAGGACACCAUGGGAGGUGGGACAAGGUCCAGAGCUGUGCUCCACCAUGAGAGACUCAGGUAGGCAGGAGACUUGAUGGGGAGGUCAAGAGGUGACAGAGAAACAUAACCAUUACCUCCCUGCCUCCCCAGCACAUCCUCAUUUUUGACUGUGUCUCAGCUUUUGGGGAA